rnacentral:rRNA from 1 species
UGCUGGCCUCUCGAGGCAUGUGCACGCCUGUCUUGACUCUAUUCAUCCACCUGUGCACAUAUUGUAGUUCUGUACUCACUGGGGGAUCAAGAAAAGCAGGCUAUUGUUCAGUUGAAACACACUGGAUUUGAAGACUGCCGUUCCGGCUUUCUUCUGCUAGCUUUGCGAAAUUGUGCUUCCUCGAGAACAGGGCUAUGUCUUUUAUCAUAAACCAUGUAGUAUGUUGCCAGAAUGUAUUCAAUGGGCCUUUAUGCCUAUAAAACCUUAUACAACUUUCAGCAACGGAUCUCUUGGCUCUCGCAUCGAUGAAGAACGCAGCGAAAUGCGAUAAGUAAUGUGAAUUGCAGAAUUCAGUGAAUCAUCGAAUCUUUGAACGCACCUUGCGCUCCUUGGUAUUCCGAGGAGCAUGCCUGUUUGAGUGUCAGUAAUCUCUCAACUCCUCUGGCUUUUAUUAGCUGGCUGGAGCUUGGAUAUGGAGGUGUUGCAGGCCUUUUGUAGGUCAGCUCCUCUGAAAUGCAUUUAGCGGAACCGUUUGCAAUCCGUCACAGGUGUGAUAAUUAUCUACGCCAGUGGGUUGCUCUCUGUCUUGUUCAGCUGCCAACUGUCCGAAAGGACAAUCAUUUACUGAAUCUUUGACCUCAAAUCAGGUAGGAACUACCCG